GUAAUGAUAUAUAUUUUUGAAAUGAAAAUGGUUGACCUUGCCUCAAGCAAUUAAUUCAUCAUUCAAGACGAGAAUUAAGAUUUCCAAAAAUUACAUGCUUUGCAUUUUGUUAAUUUUUUUUUUUUUUAAUGAUAGGUUGGAAUUUAUAAACAUUUAUAAAUUAUAGGGUUGGGAUUCAGUGUAACUUAAACAUUGUGAACAAUGAAGUUUAAACUGUGUAAUUAUUGUCGUAGUGUGAAGAAAUUGGGAAAUGAAUGUCUCUUUUGUUCUUAAUGGGCUUAAAAAGAGAGAUCAAUGUUAAACUUCUUGUUGUACGCUUAUGUUUUUGCUAGUUUGACAUUCUAGCACUCAGGGUUGAGCUUUCUCUGACUAUAUAAAAAUGAUAUACAUAAUCAAAGAAGUACUUAAUGUUCUGAGAUUUAAGAUGAAAGUAUCUUAAGAUGAUGUAGGUUCAAUGUUUAUAAUCAUCUAUGUUCAUGGUGUCUAUGUUUGUUUAAGCAUAUUUGCUGCUGUUUUAUUGUUUUAUAAAUAUAGGAGUUGGUAAUACAUUUGUGAUUUCUUGAUUUAAUAGAAAACAGAGGUGGCAGCUGUUUUGUCUCUUGCUUUGGUUUUGCUAGUCAAUAAUAUGCCUUUUGCUUACAGGAAUUCAGCCACAAUCAGUCAUAUUUUUCUAUCAUGGAAAACCCUUGAAACAUCCAAUCUGGAGUGCUAAUCUAUUUCUAAUUCAAGGAGCACCAAAAAUCUCCAUAGUCACCUUAUUAGUUUACUAGAAACUGCACCUAGUUUUAAUUUUUUUCCCAACAAAUUUAUGUUAAAUACUAAUCCUUUACAUGAAAAGAUUGAAACCUAACAGUACUUUCAUCAAGCAUAAUCCUAGCACAUGUUUGUUAGAAAGGUAAUUUGAAUGUGAUUCUUGAAAUGAGAUUCCAUUUCCUAUUCAGUACACUAAAUGAAUCCUAUGUUAAAUACUAAUCCUUUACAUGAAAAGAUUGAAACCUAACAGUACUUUCAUCAAGCAAAAUCCUAGCUCAUGUUUGUUUUGGCUAAGAAAGGUAAAUUGAAUGUGAUUCUUGAAAUGGGAUUCCAUUUCCUAUUCAGUACACUAAAUGAAUCCUAAUUGCCACAAAAUUUUCAUUUUUUCAUACAUUGAAUUAAUGUUAAAUGUCACAAACUCAAAUAUAUUUUUUAACAUUGUCAUUGGAUUUUACUAAAUUAUCUAAAAUAUAAAUUGAAAUUGGAUUUUGGGAAAAGGAUAUCUAGAUCACAUCCAAUAUCUUAUGUAGUUUCUUUGCAAGGUGAACCAAACAUGUUGUCACAUAUUAUAGGAAGAAGUAUAGGAAAAAUGUUAAGGGAAUGUAAUGGGAUAGAAAUAUAAGAAUAUUACUGUUAUAAAUAACAAACUACCAACUGGUAGAGCUGUGUAUAGGUAAAGUAGGAGUUAGUUACUACCUGGGACCCUAUAAAUCCCAGUAUAUCCCAUUGUAAAGGCGUUGUGAAUCAUAUAUACAAUACACUAUUGCCUUCUCCCUUAUUUCUUACUCUAAUUCUCUCUUAUUCUCUCAUCCUCAUUGUUCUUCUUCUUUUCUCAUUUGUCUCUCCAUUCACCCCUGUUAGAGAAUCAUCUCUAAUCUUAUAAAGCACUAAAGUUUUCUUAUUCCUAAUCUUCUUGUUGUUGAAGUUCGAUGUGCUACUGGAGAUUCCAUCUGCACAUGCUCUGAAUAUGGAAGGUCCUUUGAUUAGGAGAUGAGAUGCUUUUCAAGGGGAAUCCUUUUAUUUUUCUCAAAAUAUUUUCAUGGAAAUUUCAAGUUGAGUGUUUUUAUUUGUGAGUUGCUAAUUAUAGUAUGGAAAUAGGUUUCAUUGAUAUUUGGGAAUUUAAUGAGUUAACCUGUUGGAUAAGGUUGUGGGGCAUGAAAGAAAGGGCUGAGACCAAUAACAAAAGAUUCAGGGUGUAUGACCUUGAUUAUGUAGUCAACACUUAGCAUUUUGCUUAGAGAGUUUCAUAAGGCAUCUUUCGUUGGGGGGCUUCAUAAUUAGUACACGGGUAAACUGAGUUGCAUCCCCAAGAGGCUAAAAUGCACAAGUGGAAGUGGUAAUGCUUAACAUGCCAAGAAACAAGAACUGGAAGCAAAAUUGGUACAACAAGAAGUGUAUCAAUCAAACCUCCAAUCAACUUUUCUCUAGAGGUCGUAAAAAACGCAAGAUACGAGCUGCUUUCACCAUUGUUAAUUUGUUAUGAAAACUAAAUUUGUAUAGAUAUGUGCUUGAUUAUAGGUUUGAUCUUAGGCUUAAUAGCUUGAUUUUAGGCUUAGUCUAGGAAUUCACCUUCCUUCUUUAGCUAGGACUCUUGUAUAUAAAUAUGUACUAAAAUUCAAAGUUCACAUGGUAUCAAAGCCUUUAAUUCUUUGAGGCUUGGGCAAUAUUCACGAGUAUUGUUCAUUGAUGCAUGUCUUUUCCUUGCAACGUCGCUGCUGCACCUAGUUCUUCUGUUUUGCCUUUGCCUUGUGAUUGCAUACCUGUGUGCUGUUUUGGCGUCUUUGUCUUCAUGGUGCUUUGGGGUUUUUGGUUCUAUGACUUUCUGAUAUGCCUUCAAUGCUGUUAUGGUUCUUGGUGCUUUAUUUAAGGAGAUUAGUAGUUAGCGGCUUUGAUUCUGACUAUGGCUCAGUAAAAGAUUUCUAUUAGAUUCUUUUAUCUUGUCAGAUGGUAGUCACGCAUGAGAAAAUUAUUUUAGUAUCUGCAAACGAAUUUCCUCAGUUCUCUCGAUAUAAACAAUUGUUAAGGUUCACCAAUUCCUGUCAUUACUAUCAGUAAAUUAGGUACACCCACCUCUUCUCUUGUCUUUACUCUUACACAGCUUAUUGAUGCUAUAGAUUAUAUGACAGGUAAUUUGAGUCUUUAUCUGCUUUUCAAUCUCAUACAACCUCUCCUCUAUUAUUUUAGCUGAUGAUCUACCUCUUGUGUUGUUAGUUCUAGGAUUACAAACCCUACACCGUCUGCCUCUUUAUCAUCUGUUUUAUAUUUGCUGCAUCUUUCUUUUAAUUUGCUUUUUAUGAGUAAACUUACUAAUUGUUAUCUCAUUCUUUCUUGGUCAUUGUGUUUUUAGGAUCUUUUCUAUGAAGUAUAUUAUUGGUCAUGGUCGUGAGUCUAGAUUUCUCUAUGUUGUAGACCAAUAAGGUCUCUUGUAUAUUCUAAUAUCUCAACUCUUUUUGAAAUUUAUUAUCGAUUAGGACAUGCUUCCCUAUUUGUCUUAAAGAAAUUGUGUCCUCAGUUGCAAUCAUUGUCAACUUUAGAAUGUGAGU
rnacentral:lncRNA from 1 species